UAGGGAAUCUUCGGCAAUGGGGGCAACCCUGACCGAGCAACGCCGCGUGAGUGAAGAAGGUUUUCGGAUCGUAAAGCUCUGUUGUAAGAGAAGAACGUGUGUGAGAGUGGAAAGUUCACACAGUGACGGUAACUUACCAGAAAGGGACGGCUAACUACGUGCCAGCAGCCGCGGUAAUACGUAGGUCCCGAGCGUUGUCCGGAUUUAUUGGGCGUAAAGCGAGCGCAGGCGGUUUAAUAAGUCUGAAGUUAAAGGCAGUGGCUUAACCAUUGUUCGCUUUGGAAACUGUUAAACUUGAGUGCAGAAGGGGAGAGUGGAAUUCCAUGUGUAGCGGUGAAAUGCGUAGAUAUAUGGAGGAACACCGGUGGCGAAAGCGGAUCUCUGGUCUGUAACUGGCGCUGAGGCUCGAAAGCGUGGGGAGCAAACAGG
rnacentral:rRNA from 1 species